AUUUUUUUCGAGAACAUCCGAUAAAAUUAGAAUGAUACAGAAAAAAUUAAUAUGGUUUCUGCGCAAGAAUGACACGAAUAAAUCGAGAAAUAAUUCAACUUUAA